UAGGAGAUCCUCCUUACAUUGGUACCCCUUGGUGUGCUAGUAUUAUGUAUAGGGAUUCUAUAACAAGAAUUCAUUUUGAUACAUACAGAGUUAAGCCGAAGGAAGACCAUGUUGCAAUAUGCAUAUAAUUGAUAGGUGUCUUUUACGCCCACCCAACAGUGACAUCUUGCCAAUACAAUUCAAGUGUAUUGACCCUUUGUGGCUGCAACGUUUCAUGUUGCAGGUUAUUUUCUGACUAAGGAAUCAAUGAAUUAGGAUCACGAGUCUUCGCUCAACAUGUCUGCCUGUGGCAUCAUGAAGACAGAUGGCUCCAUGCUUUAAUUUUACUUUACCGUUGUGAACUCUGAAUAAGUGCUAGCUGAGAGCUAUGCAAGUUGUAAUGAACUAUUUUAUUUUACUGGAUCAUGCGAUGUAAUAUUGACCUUUGCUAUUUGGUAUUACAUCUUAAA